UCUCCGUCAGCAUCGAGGCCUUCCCUUUCGCAGUAUCCCACGCAACGCCGGCCGGCCGGCCGGCCAGAAUCCUCCAGUCCUUCUCCUCCCCUCUUUCCCUUCCUACAAGCGAAUCCAGAACCUAUUGCCGGCGAGAUACCCACGGAGUCAUGGACCGGCGACAGGAGACGAGGAAGAGCGAGGCCAAUCGGUCACGGGCGCAUCGGCGGCCGGCAUUCUCUCGGCCGCGGGAGUCGCCGCCGUCGGCCACUACUCUGGGCCCGUCUUCCCAGCGCAUGUGAGUUUGGAUGGGCAUCCAAGUUAGCAUUGGAAGCUGGCAACUUGUUUCGGCCCUCACUCGGUUCCGAUCAGAGCAUAUAUCCAGCUGUUCCACGUUGGAUGGCCUUACCACUUAUGCACACCCAGGUUAGCAUUGCAAGUUGGCAACUUGUUUCGGUCCUCACUCGGUAACCAUCUAGUACCUUGGAUCCAAAAUAAGUAUUUGUACUAAAUCAGCCACAUUUAUUUUGGAUAAGAGGAAGUAGUAUUAUGCUUAAUCUAGUUAUCAGCCAGGUUGUAUUA